rnacentral:rRNA from 1 species
UACGGAGGGGGCUAGCGUUGUUCGGAAUCAUUGGGCGUAAGGCGCGUGUAGGCGGCUUGAUAAGUCUGCUCUGAAAGCCCGGGGCUCAACCCCGGGAGGCGGGUGGAUACUGUCAAGCUCGAGUCCGGAAGAGGAGUGUGGAAUUCCUGGUGUAGCGGUGAAAUGCGCAGAUAUCGAGGAGGAACACCGGUGGCGAAGGCGGGUCUCUGGGCCGAUACUGACGCUGGAGGAGCGAAAGCAUGGGGAGCGAACAGG